UUUACACACAAGCUCACUUUUUCCAAUAUGUUGUUUGGCAACCAUUCCUAAAGUAUCUGGAAUUGAAGAUAGUAAUUUUAACAAGAAUUGAGUAUCGUUAUAUCUAAUAAACUGUGCAUUGAAGUAUGUUCUCCAGGUUACUUAAAGAUACUGGGACAGGACCAGCCCCUGUGGCCUAGUGGUUAAGUUUAGUGUGCUCUGCUUCAGUGGUCUGGGUUCACUUCCCAGGCGUGGACCUACACUGCUUUGUCAGCAGCCAUGCUAUGCUGGUGGCCCUCCUACUGAAAAACAGAGGAAGACUGAAACAGAUGUUAGCUCAGGGUGAAUCUUCCUCAGCAAAAAAAAAAAAAAAAAAAAGAUACUGAGACAUUUUAGACUAUCCAGUAACUUUAUUCAUUCGGGAAAUUUGGUAUAUAUAGGCCCAAUCUGAACUUCCAAAUUAACUUUUAGAGUAUGAACAUAACUUUGCCUGCUAGGCAGCCAAUCACCAGUAUUGUGUCAAAAAAAACCCCACCCAGCUUGUGAAUGUGAAAGGCUAUAGGGAGAAAGAGCCAGGACAGAUGAGAUUAAUAGAAAGGGUAGAGAGAGUGUGGAUAUUUUGUAGUUUAAAACUUUAGACAAAAGCAGCAAUCCACUUUUCAAUGCAAGCUAGGUACUAUUUGCAUGAUUGUCCUAUUAAAAUUGAAAUACUAUUGUAGUUGAUUGUCUGCAUUUAGGAGCUUUACUACGGAAUACACUUAAAAUCAACGCACAUGAAGUUCAGGAGAGGAUCACUGUGUAAAAAUGUUGGUAAUAAUAAAAAGUCCUGCAAUAAAUGCCUAAAACACAAAGGUUCGGACAAACUUUGCAUUUAGAAAUGAAGCUAAGACAAAGGCCAAUUUAUAAAAAUGGUCUGUGUAGACCUGACUGUUGAACAAAAUUUUGAGGUCUUCUUGUAAAAAGGAAAAAAUCCACCUUUCCUCUGACCUAACCUGUACCCCUUUAACCCAAAGGCCAGGUUCUCUUUGCAGUUGGUCAGGUUAGUCUUUCUCAGGUGCACGUGGCGAGAAGCGGGGGAUUUCUCUCCCAGACGCCGUCCGGAGAUGAGCCUCCCACUUUGUUCCUUCACUGUGCUGGGCUGACCCCAUCCAUUGUUCUUUUAUUAGGUCCUGCGCUGGUUUUUAAUCACAUUCGGUUUGUACAGCCUGGACCAGAGAGAAAGCCGCAGGAAGUCCCUUCCAGCUGCUGCGACUGCUCCUCUCCUGGAUUCUCAGGGGGUCCCGGAGGAGGUCUUUGCUGCCUCACUCACGAGAUUCACUGAGCUGAGUUGUCUUUUCAUCACUGAAGGGCUUUGAGACCCUCCCUCCAGCUUUUCCAGCAGUAGCGUGUGCAGUCAGCCCCCCAAGUGAGCAGACGUUUACAGAAGAAUUGAAUUCACCAGAUGUUAGUAGACCAUCUGAAGGGAAUUACUCCUCAUUUUCUAAUAAAUAACCUUGGAAUUAGAUACA
rnacentral:lncRNA from 1 species